rnacentral:rRNA from 1 species
AUGGCGCCUCGUCAGCCCCCGGCCGUAGCUUGGUACUCGUCUGCCCUGGACCCGCCGAACGUGUCGGAGGCGAGCCUUGCCCGGUUGCGCCGGAUGGCGACGGCGCGGGGCAUCAAUGGGGCAAAGGUGUUCAAGGCCGGCUCCGCCACCCCUGAGGGUCAAGGGAGCACCUUCUAUCCGUUCUUCGUAAGUGCCAUUGUUGCUGGCCUAGUGCCUCCCUUCUCCGAGUUCUUCUUCUCUGUCCUCCGCCAUUAUAAGCUACAGGCUCUGCAUCUCCACCCCAACUCUGUCCUUCUCCUGGCAAUCUUCGCCUAUUACUGCGAGGCUCACGUAGGGGUGCAGCCCUCAGUGGCCUUGCUGCGCCACUACUUCUACCUCCGGACCUCUCGCGGUCCUGCUUCCGCGUGCGCGAGCUUCAUCACGUACGGUGGCGCCAUUGCCAUUUCGAACCCCGGGAAAAGGAUUGAGGGCUUCAGGAGCAAGUGGGUCUUGGUGGAUGCUGGGGAAGCUUCGCGUCAUCCGCCCCGCCUGGCUUGGCCCCUCGCGACGGUCUUGGGUUUGUGUUGGUGA